UCUGCAAUUACCCCGGCGAACUCCUCUGUUGCGCCACGUGCAAUUUGGUCUUUCACUUGGAUUGCGCCCGGCCAAAGAUGAAGGAAAUGCCCCCCGACGAUUGGAAGU
rnacentral:ribozyme from 1 species